rnacentral:lncRNA from 1 species
GCAGCUCACUGGCAUUCCAUUCCACCUUGUGGAUGCUUUGUUCUUUUGCUGUUUGCAAUAAAUCUUGCUGCUGCACACUCUUUGGCUCCACAGUGCCUUUAUGAGCUGUAACACUCACCACGAAGGUCUGCUGCUUCUCUCCUGAGGUUAGCGAGACGCCGACUCCAACAGGAGGAAUGAACAACUCCGGACGCGCUGCCUUAAGAGCUGUCACACUCACUGUGAAGGUCUGCAGCUUCACUCUUGAAGCCUGUGAGACCAUGAACCCAUCAGAAAAAAGAAACUCCGAACGUGUUUGAACAUCAGAAGGAACAAACUCCGGACACACCAUCUUUAACACUCAUCGCGAGGGUCUGCGGCUUCAUUCUUAAAGUCAGUGAGACCAAGAACCCAUCAAUUCCGGACACAGCUGGAGUGCAAUAGCGCGGUCUCAGCUCACUGCAAUCUCCAUCUCCUAGGUUCAAGCAAUUCUCCUGCCUCAGCCUCCUGAGUAGCUGGUUAUAGGCAUGCACCACCAUGCCUGCUAAGUUUGUAGUUUUAGCAGACACAGGGUUUCUCCAUGUUGGUCAGGCUGGUCUUGAACUUCUGAUCUCAGGUGAUCCACCUGCCUCUAUCUCCCAAAGUGCUGGGAUUACAGGCAUGAGCCACCACACCCGGCCACAUGCAUUAAUUUUUAAAGACAAUAACCAUAUGUGUUGCUUAGGAGUUUGGGAUCCGUUUUCGUUUUUUUUUUUUUUUUU